GAUUAACGCUGGCGGCGUGCCUAACACAUGCAAGUCGAGCGGCAGCGAGUUUUACACUGAAUUCUGGAAGCUUCUAGUUGAAAGAGAAGAUUUAUUCAAGAAUUUUGUGUAAAAUGUCGGCGAGCGGCGGACGGCUGAGUAACGCGUGGGAACGUACCCCAAAGUGAGGGAUAACGCAUCGAAAGGUGUGCUAAUACCGCAUAUGGUCUUCGGAUUAAAGCCUUCGGGCGCUUUGGGAACGGCCUGCGUAAGAUUAGAUAGUUGGUGGGGUAAUGGCCUACCAAGUCGACGAUCUUUAACUGGUUUGAGAGGAUGAUCAGUCAGACUGGAACUGAGACACGGUCCAGACUCCUACGGGAGGCAGCAGUGAGGAAUCUUCCACAAUGGGCGAAAGCCUGAUGGAGCAACGCCGCGUGCAGGAUGAAGGCCUUCGGGUUGUAAACUGCUUCUAUAAGUGAGGAUUAUGACAGUAACUUAUGAAUAAGGAUCGGCUAACUACGUG
rnacentral:rRNA from 1 species